GGGGUUAUUCCAAUUGAUAUUUGGGAAUAUUGUAAUUGAUUCUUUCCUAGUUUAGAGAUAGCGUGACCUGUUGUUUAGGGUCCUAGUUUGGCUAACUGCUUAAUUGUGGGAUCUAUAUUGCUAUAUCAAUCCCUAUAUAUGUACCUGCACAUAUUGUAUGUAAACACAACGGAAUACAGAAUUCCUUAUACCAGAUUUU
rnacentral:lncRNA from 1 species